GUGCUUGCUUCUGUAGCACAUAUGCUAAAAUUGGAACGAUACGGAGAUUAGCAUGGCCCCUGAGCAAGGAUGACACACAAAUUCAUGAAGUGUUCCAUAUUUUG
rfam:Canis lupus familiaris chromosome 31, whole genome shotgun sequence.